AGUGAACGCUGGCGGUAGGCCUAACACAUGCAAGUUGAACGGCAGCACAGUAAGAGCUUGCUCUUACGGGUGGCGAGUGGCGGACGGGUGAGGAAUACAUCGGAAUCUACUUUUUCGUGGGGGAUAACGUAGGGAAACUUACGCUAAUACCGCAUACGACCUACGGGUGAAAGCAGGGGAUCUUCGGACCUUGCGCGAUUGAAUGAGCCGAUGUCGGAUUAGCUAGUUGGCGGGGUAAAGGCCCACCAAGGCGACGAUCCGUAGCUGGUCUGAGAGGAUGAUCAGCCACACUGGAACUGGGACACGGUCCAGACUCCUACGGGAGGCAGCAGUGGGGAAUAUUGGACAAUGGGCGCAAGCCUGAUCCAGCCAUACCGCGUGGGUGAAGAAGGCCUUCGGGUUGUAAAGCCCUUUUGUUGGGAAAGAAAAGCAGCAGGUUAAUACCCCGCUGUUCUGACGGUACCCAAAGAAUAAGCACCGGCUAACUUCGUG
rnacentral:rRNA from 1 species